UUUAAAUUAUUUUAAACAUGAAAAAAAAGUUUACGUCUCCCGGCGUUUGAUUAAAUAGGCCUUAGUUAUGGAGUAAUAAAUUUGUAAAAAUUGGCCAUACCGCGGCGCGCCACAUGAACCUUUCCAAUCACUUUCCUUCCAAUCAGUGCAGUUGGCUCCGUGAAUUACGUGCUUGCUUCACGAUCAUAAGAUCCGUUUUCGCUCCCGGAGAUAGGUGAAAAUACGGCUUCGUGUGAGUAUCGCGAAUCGGGACGGGAGGCCAUUGCUCCAGGCACGUGUAUCGGUCGUAGAAAGACGAGAUUAAUUAUUUUUAAGCAACAUGAUCAUAUCAAAACAGAGAUUCCUUCAGAACAGAAAUUCCUUCAGAACAAAUUACAUAACAACGAAGAUUAUACCAGGCAGAGAUUACGAAUAAACAAAUUAAUUAUUUUUAAGCAACUUCAAGCAUAUCAGAACAGAGAUUCCAUCCGAACAGAGAUUUCUUCAGAACAGAUUCCUUCAGAACAAAAAUUCCUUUAAAACAGAGAUUUCACCAGACAGAUUACGAAUAAACAAAUAAAAAUGACAGGAUCAUCGUGGACUGUAGUCAAAUUUAAUGAGGAAAAUUUAGUAGAAGCUGUACCAACUUCAUGGAUUUUUAAUAAUAAAUGUUAUUGGCCAUCUUUUCAGCGUGAUUGCAGCUAAGUAUUCGAAGAAAUGAAGAGCCAAACACACAUUGGCCUUCAUAUAAAACUAUCCAUUUUCCAAAAUAGCACCUAUGAGAACUACAUGACAGCAAGAAAAAAAUGCAAAAAAGCUGAAGAUACAUCGGAUUUAACUCGGAAAUUUCAGCUAGCGAACAGAAAAAAAGAAAAAUUACAAAAAGACAGACUUUUUCUUCUUCAGAAGAAGAUGAGAAAUGCAAUUAUAAAUGCUUGCCAAAGUCUCCUGCCUUAACAGUUACCUUAUUCGGAUGUCCCAUGGACAUCCCAAUGUCCGGCGUCGGACGUCCAUGUGCUGUCUGAGACAUGAGUAAGAAUAGGAAAAUUUUUCAAUGAGGAUACAAAGAUAGUAUCACUUAGAUUUUGUAGAAAAAAAAUAAAGAUUUAAGGGGUACAUACACACA